rnacentral:rRNA from 1 species
GAGGCAGCAGUAGGGAAUCUUCCGCAAUGGACGAAAGUCUGACGGAGCAACGCCGCGUGAGUGAUGAAGGCUUUCGGGUCGUAAAACUCUGUUGUUAGGGAAGAACAAGUGCUAGUUGAAUAAGCUGGCACCUUGACGGUACCUAACCAGAAAGCCACGGCUAACUACGUGCCAGCAGCCGCGGUAAUACGUAGGUGGCAAGCGUUAUCCGGAAUUAUUGGGCGUAAAGCGCGCGCAGGUGGUUUCUUAAGUCUGAUGUGAAAGCCCACGGCUCAACCGUGGAGGGUCAUUGGAAACUGGGAGACUUGAGUGCAGAAGAGGAAAGUGGAAUUCCAUGUGUAGCGGUGAAAUGCGUAGAGAUAUGGAGGAACACCAGUGGCGAAGGCGACUUUCUGGUCUGUAACUGACACUGAGGCGCGAAAGCGUGGGGAGCAAACAGGAUUAGAUACCCUGGUAGUCCACGCCGUAAACGAUGAGUGCUAAGUGUUAGAGGGUUUCCGCCCUUUAGUGCUGAAGUUAACGCAUUUAGCACUCCGCCUGGGGAGUACGGCCGCAAGGCUGAACUUCAAAGGAAUUGACGGGGCCCGCACAAGCGGUGGAGCAUGUGUUUAAUUCUAAAGCACGGCGAGGAUCUUUACAGGUCUUGACAUCCUCUGGAUACCCUAGAGAUAAGGCUUUCUCCUUCCGGAACCAAAUGGACAGCGUGG